GUAAUGUAAUGUAGUGUAAUGUUGUGUAAUGUAAUGUAAUGUCACGUAACAGUCUAAUGUAGUGUAAUGUAAUCCUGCUACAACACAACAACAAACCUAAUUUAGGAGUUAUACAGAGAUGUUACUACCAGGCUGUUACCAGGUGGAGACGUGGUUCAGACUGGACCAGUUUGAGAAGUAGCAUGUUAUUAGCAUGUUAUCAGAAUGCUAAUAACAUGUUACCAGGUGGAGACGGUGUCGUGUUUCAGACUGGACCAGUUUGAGAAGUAGCAUGUUAUUAGCAUGUUAUCAGAAUACUAAUAACAUGUUACCAGGUAGAGACGUGGUUCAGACUGGACCAGUUUGAGAAGUAGCAUGUUAUUAGCAUGUUAUCAGAAUACUAAUAACAUGUUACCAGGUAGAGACGUGGUUCAGACUGGACCAGUUUGAGAAGUAGCAUGUUAUCAGAAUACUGAUAACAUGUUACCAGGUGGAGACGGUGUCGUGUUUCAGACUGGACCAGUUUGAGAAGUAACAGAAUACUAAUAACAUGUUACCAGGUAGAGACGGUGUCGUGUUUCAGACUGGACCAGUUUGAGAAGUAACAGAAUACUAA